GUUUUGUGAAGCAAUCAUCAAUAAAAUAGCUAAUUUUUUAUGGCAGCUACAAAGUAAAACAAAGUGAAAGUGUUAGUCAUCUAGCCGUGGCUGACUCUUUUUCGACCCCAUGGAUUGUAUCCCACCAGGCUCCUCUGUCCAUGGGAUUCUCCAGGCAAGAAUGCUGGAGUGGUAGCCAUCUCCUUCUCCAGGGAAUCUUCUGGACCCAGGGAUUGAACCCAGGUCUCUUGCAUUUCAGUUGGUAAAAGCAAGUAAGCACCAAGAGAGAGAUGUCUCAAGCCAAUAUUCAGGAAAGCGCCAAAGAGAUGAGUUCAAAUGCCACAUGUAGAAGGCUGACAAGAUUAUAAUAUUAAAGAGAGAAGAUAUCUUAAAAUUGUUAAGUUGUUACUUACUUUUACUUCUUUUAUGGGAAAAUAUAUAUUCCAUUCUAAGGAGAGCAAGGAGGGAGACUUACAUUUUUGGAACCCUACUUCACAGUGGGCCCCACAUGGCAUGUUUCUAUACGCAUUGCUUUGGCUUUUUGCUUAGGUAUGUUAUGUCAUUUCUUCCUUCACAUGAAGGAAUAGGGAGGUUGGUCUAUUUCCUCAAAUCACACAGCUAGUUGGCAUCAGAGCUGACAUCCAGACAAGGCAGUCUGUGUGACUCUGUCAGACACAAAGACAGAACCUGGGGAGCAGGAAGGGCUCAUUUCCGGUUCCUGGAGCACAUUGCAUUCUCCCAACAGAGAACUGGCCUUUAU
ensembl:lncRNA